GCCAGCAUCGCUUAAUCCGGUAUAGCGUCGGUCUCGAAAACCGAUUCCGCAAGGAACUCCCGGAGAUUUUUAGGAAAAAUCUCGUAAAAACAGGGUUGGUUAAAGUCCACCAAUUUACUAAGAAAUCCUAUUAAUCGGGAAAUUCAAAUCCGGGUGCUGGCG
rnacentral:tRNA from 1 species